GACGAACGCUGGCGGCGUGCUUAACACAUGCAAGUCGAACGGCAAGGCCCUGUUUCUGUGGGGUGCUCGAGCGGCGAACGGGCGAGUAACACGCGAGUAUCCUGCCCUCGAUUUUGGGAUAACUUCAGGAAACUGGGGCUAACACCGGAUAGGAGCUCCUGCUGCAUGGUGGGGGUUGGAAAGUUUCGGCGGUUGGGGAUGGACUCGCGGCUUAGCAGCUUGUUGGUGGGGUAGUGGCUUACCAAGGCUUUGACGGGUAGCCGGCCUGAGAGGGUGACCGGCCACAUUGGGACUGAGAUACGGCCCGGACUCCUACGGGAGGCAGCAGUGGGGAAUAUUGCACGAUGGACGGAAGCCUGAUGCAGCAACGCCGCGUGCGGGAUGACGGCCUUCGGGUUGUAAACCGCUUUCGCCUGUAACGGAGCGUGAGUGACGGUAAUGGAUAAAGAAGCACCGGCUAACUACGUG
rnacentral:rRNA from 1 species